AAACUAACAAGGAUUCCCCUAGUAACGGCGAGUGAACCGGGAAGAGCUCAAAUUUGAAAUCUGGCGUGCUCAGUGCGUCCGAGUUGUAAUCUAUAGAGUCGUUUUCCGUGCCGGACUGUGUCCAAGUCCCUUGGAACAGGGUAUCAAAGAGGGUGAUAAUCCCGUACUUGACACAAUGACCGGUGCUCUGUGAUACGUCUUCUACGAGUCGAGUUGUUUGGGAAUGCAGCUCAAAAUGGGUGGUGAGUUCCAUCUAAAGCUAAAUAUUGGCGAGAGACCGAUAGCGAACAAGUACCGUGAGGGAAAGAUGAAAAGCACUUUGGAAAGAGAGUUAAACAGUACGUGAAAUUGUUAAAAGGGAAACGAUUGAAGUCAGUCGUGACUGAGAGGCUCAGCCGGUUCUGCCGGUGUAUUCCCCUCAGUCGGGUCAACAUCAGUUUUGUUCGGUGGAUAAGGGCAGUUGGAAGGUGGCACCCUCGGGUGUGUUAUAGCCAGCUGUCGCAUACAUCGGAUGAGACUGAGGAAUGCAGCUCGCCUUUAUGGCCGGGGUUCGCCCACGUUCGAGCU
rnacentral:rRNA from 1 species